UACGUAGGGUGCGAGCGUUAAUCGGAAUUACUGGGCGUAAAGCGUGCGCAGGCGGUUCGUGAUGUCUGGUGUGAAAGCCCCGGGCUUAACCUGGGAAUUGCAUUGGAAACUAGCGGGCUGGAGUGUGGCAGAGGGGGGUGGAAUUCCGCGUGUAGCAGUGAAAUGCGUAGAGAUCCGGAGGAACACCGAAGGCGAAGGCAGUGUCCUGGCUGGUGACUGACGCUGAGGUGCGAAAGCUAGGGGAGCGAACGGG
rnacentral:rRNA from 1 species